rnacentral:rRNA from 1 species
AUUCCAGCUCCAAUAGCGUAUAUUAAAGUUGUUGCAGUUAAAAAGCUCGUAGUUGGAUUUCUGGCAUGAUGCGCCUGGCCCGCUCCGAUUACGGAUGUGUGUGCUAGUGCGCGUCUGCCAUCCAUUUACAGAAUGUAUCUACCCUUCAUUGGGCCGGAUAUGUGAUGUAAAUCUUUUACUUUGAAAAAAUUAGAGUGUUUAAAGCAGGCAUUUGCUAUGAAUACAUUAGCAUGGAAUAAUAAUCUAGGACUUCGGUUUUAUUUUGUUGGUUUCUAAAUCUGGAGUAAUGAUUGAUAGGGAUAGUUGGGGGUGCUAGUAUUUAGGGGCCAGAGGUGAAAUUCUUGGAUUCUCUAAAGACUAACUUAUGCGAAAGCAUUCACCAAGGAUGUCUUCAUCA